ACUGCAACCAUACCUUAUUUUUUGUCGUGGACCGCCACUGGCGAUGAUGCCGUACUCCGGCGACCACGAGCGCUCUCUGCCAUCGCUGUCACCGCCACGAGUUGUGUUCUCCUCCUCCCUCGCCCCAUCCGCCGCGCCCUUCCCCGCCGUUGACCCGGUGGGCCCGGGCCAAGGCCUCGGCCGUGAUCUGCCCACCGCCCCGACGCCCCGUCCGUCUACGCAGCGGGCGGAGACUGGCGCGCUGCGUCGUGGAUGGAGCCUCCCGCGAGCUACAUGGCCCCGCCGCCACGCCACCGAGUUAUAAAGAGCAACGAGAGGGACGAACAUUCCCCACCUGAGAAACUUAAACUAAUAAGGGAGGGACAAGAAAGAAAAAAAAGGCGAAGGUUACACAUUGCCGAAGGAGUUGCACACGAUAUGUUAGCCUUUUGCACCAUUAAUCUAGCUGGGGAGUCGCAUCUGCUAUUGCCUUCUAUUUCAUGUCCUGUGUGCAAUUCAUGUGAUUGUUAGGUGAGACGAACCAGCCACCACCGUAUCAGAGCGAGUAUGCUUUUCAAACCAGUUUGGGAUGGGUAACUGAAACUUCCCAGCUAGCUAGAUUAAUGGAUUUUCACCUUUACACACGUUGAUGGAUAACUGAAACUUCCCAACUAGAUUAAUGGAUUUUCAUCUUUACACCCCUAGGAUAGAUAAGGGUGUCCCCAACGGGUUCACCAAAUCGCCAGUGAAGUUGAAAGCUGAAAAUAAUAAUAAAAAGAAGUGAAGAGCGUAGGUAUGCAGACUGCAGAGCAACGGAGCUGAGAGAGGGAGCUUACUGUGGCAGCAGCAGCACUAGCUCAUUGCUCUAUCUCCUAUUCGCCCAAUAGAAUUUCACAAGAGCUGGCAAUUUAAGCACUGUUGGUUACGCCCUUAUAAUCUUGGGGCUAGAUUGGACGUUUGGUUUGGACUUUGGAGAAUGCUAGGGUGUUUCGUCUGGUGGCAGUUGGCACCCAGUUGUAUUUGGCAAAUAAACGAAUGGCACAACCUUGUCCUCCCCAAAUCUGGUGAGAUCUCUAUUGAGAUUAUACUAUUAGAGUUUGGUGUUUGGUCUUUGGGGUUGGGUUUUGGGGAUGGACAAUGGGAGUUUCUUGCCUGACGGCUUUUGCUGGGCUGGCAGCGAGGCAAAGCAGCAAUGACACCACUAGCCCAGCAGGAGGAUUUCUGUCUAGUGGAGUUGAGGCUUGGGGAACACCGGCGGUGGAGUGAGGGAUAAGGAGGUGGUUGCCGCAUGCGGGUUAAUUUCUUGCUGGAGUUCCAUGCUGGCUUCAGCAAAACCCUAGCCUGCUGCGGCAGGGUGAAGGCGCAUGGGAUGGCAGUGGCAUUGGGGCAGUACCGCAGUAGAGCUCGGGAAGAAGCAGUUUGCUCAAAGCUGAAUAGGACCCUGGCCAUUCAAUCUCCAUCCAGUGGCCAGAACAUGGGGUGCUGGAAGAGAUUUUUUUACCAGAAUAAUAUUGUAUAGACAGAUCCUUUGAUUUACUAGUGUUGACGAGUUACAGGUGAAGUUCAUUUUAGGCUCUCACAAUGAGAUGUAACUGGAUUUUUAGCAUCUGUUUAUGACAAUUACAGUUUUGGAUAGAUAACUUGGCAGCUAGAUUAGCCUUUUGGUUUUGUGUUGGGUGUGGGUGGGUGGUAAUGGAGGAUCAUGGUAGGCUCUGCCAAAAGGUUUUAACUGUAUAUUUAGUAGGCUUGCAGGCAGGGCGGGUUUUUUAUGGGAACCCGCAUAUCCACCCCACAAAAUCAUGCUUUGUGGCAGAUGCAGACCAGCUGCAGCAGUUUUUCGGCAUCAUGUCUGUUGUUUCAUUAAGCCCAUCGGUACCCUUUUGUUUCUACUUAUGACAAAUACAUGACACAGCUUUCGUCAUGUUCAACAGAUACACAACCUCACAUCUCUUCUACACAAUAUGUCAAUUCAUCUAAAAUGGCCAAUACAACCAUUCCAUUGAUGAAUGACACUAUUGGCGAAAGUUCCUUUUUUUUUCCUUAUAUGAAUUCUUGCAAAAAUCAAGCUUUAUUAUUUUGAUUCCGUGUGGAAUGAACAAAAGGGUCUUAGAUACCAAACUACUGAUAAGCAGUAUGGAAAAUGGAGUAACCCUGAUGACAAGGCAACAGUGGGGAACUAUUUCCUCAAUUCUUGUGGAGAGAUCCACCUUAAUCCGGAGCAUUUAGGGAAUGAGAGACUAAUGUGGGGAUCUUCUGAAAUGAAACAUGAUCUAGGAAGUUUUAGUUCCAAGGUUUCUUCGGCUGAGUCUAGAUUUAUUCAGACUUGUGAAGGUUCAUCUGAGUUUCCUGAUGUCAAUAACACUAGUGUUGAUUCGCCUUGUUGGAAGGGCACACCAGCCUCGUACCAGUGUUCGUUUGGGAUUAUGGAAAAUAACGGUGUUCCUCCUGUGGCGAUAAGAACAGCAGGCUACAUCAAUUCACAUAAAAACCAGAAGCCCCCUGAGUUGGGUUCUGGGUAUCCAUGGCGAUUCUGUGAACACCAAGUAGCAUUGAGUUCUGAGAUUGACCCUUUUAAGGUGUUCAAGUUGCCCGAAAGAUGUAAAAUCUCCAAAGAUCAUAAAGAAGUUCCACCAAUUGAUGUCAAGGUUCUUAAUGACAUGACUACUCAUGCUUGUUGUUUGCCUGACAAACAGCAUUCCGCAACACAGAAAUGCUAUGAUUCUAGAGAAGAUUCUCAGAAUGUGAUAACUUCAAGUCAACGGGAAAGUUUGUGUCCUGCCAGCAAGCCAAAACUUUUAGUUGUGGAGAAGGAAGAAAGCACUCACACAAGAGGUGAAGACCCUUCUCAAUGUUAUCCAGGUGUUGAGGGGAAUAUGAUGAAUAUGGCUUCUGAAUCCAGCUCUAGCACUCGGGCAAUAUUUCUGAAACUAAUGCACAACCUAUCAGUAGUGCUUCUAUUGACAUGCAAGGGUGGUUCUUUGUUGCACGAAGAUGAAGAGGACCUUCUGCAAUCAGUGAUUCAAAAUCUUACAGCUGCCAGUUCCAAAAGAAGCAAGGUUGAACAAAAAAACUGGUGAUGGGUUGAGCAACUCCAGUCAAAUGAAAUUAAAAAAUAUUAACUGUGCGAGGAACAACUUUUGGCGGUCAAUGCAUGAAGACUCAGUACGGGAGAAUGCUGAUUCAGAAUUUAAGGCCACUGUUUCACAGGUUCUUAGGCUAUCCGCACUCAUUCUACUCUAAAUUUCUACUCUAAAAGAAAUAUUCUAUCCUCAUCAUCAAGAUUCUCUACCCUAUAUCAUAAUCUACUGCAGUCAUAUUUACUCCAUACAUCAACUCUAUACCAAUCACCACAUAUAUUAUAUAUCUUUUUUUUGUCCCCUACUGCCACACCGGCUGAUGGCGCUCGGCACCGUACCUGCUGCAUGGACGUGUGGACUGAUAGAGUAAAAAAGCAUCGAUAGAGUAAAAAAGCAUCGACGCUGUAAAUAACGUUUUGUUUGCCCCCCAUAAGUUUACAGCUACCUAUAGAGUACUCCACUGCAGUAAAAUUUUACUCUAUACCUAGCCUUAUAUUGGUGGCGUCUUCUUUACAGUAUAUCACUGCGGGUAGCCUUACUAAUCACCAGGAGGAUAAGAUGCUUGACAACACUAAAGUUUCUCAAGCGUCAAUCUAUAGAAACUUGUGGAUUGAAGCAGAAGCUUCAGCUUGUAAACUCAAAUAUGAGCUUCAACAUGCUCACCUGGGCUUGAGACAGCAAAAGGCCUCAAUGUCACAGUAGAAGGUACUCCCUCGCUUCACAAAUGUAAGCAUUUCUAGCAUUUUUGGGCCAUUUAGGAGGAAGGGAAAUGACUGUGAUAUCCCUCAAUCAAUCACCAAGAUUACAGAGACUCAGUUAAUGCCUUGCUUUCGUAUAGAUGCCAUAAACGCCAAGUGCUAAUUAAAACUUUAAACACCAAGAUUGUAUUGAUGCUAAACAUGCUUGACACCAAAAUAAAACUGCUUCCAAAUAUUAAUGGUGAGGGAGUGUCAGGGGUUGAUUAUGCCAGAAAUGUUUACGUUCGUGGACAAUUUUGAAUGCUGAAGUUACAUGUACCUGUAGAAGGAAGCUGGAGGGAGUAGCAAGAUGGAUAUAUAAAUUAAUAUUUUCACAUAAGAGUCUCAGGAACCGUGCCUAAUCUCCUCUCCAGUUGACCAGUAUGGCGGUUCACCUACAAAAUGGGAGCAUGUUCUGAAGGAGAAUUUCUUCCAUCCAGGCAAAUAGGUGAAAUCUGAACCAUAAACCAGAAAGCUAUGGUUUCAGCUCAUGUUGCUUCAAAAUGUUGAUGCUUCUUGUAAAUAUGAUAUAUACAUCCUCUCCUCCCCAACCUUUAUCAGUAUGUUCAAUAAUCUGCAUAUCGGUGAUCAUGUAACCCCUCAUGGUGCUAUACGGAAGUAAUCUGGUUUUUCUGCUUGGGUCUAUGCCAAA